GCGAGAGAGAGGUGAGCUGGGGGGACUGACCUUGCAAGGGUUAAAGGGAACCGAGCUGCCUUCCUAGAGAGGCCAGGAAGCAAGGGGGGGCAGGUCAUCCAGAGCCCAGCCACCCCUCCCCAGUCCUUUCCUGCCUCGCUGUCCCUCCUGGGAUCUGGUGAGUCUCCUCUCUCUCUGGGAUCUGGUGAGUCUCCUCUCUCUCUGGGAUCUGGUGAGUCUCCUCUCUCUCUGGGAUCUGGUGGGGGUCCCAGGGCCGCAGCAGGGGAGGGGGCUGGGGGGCCUGAUCUGCAGGGGGGGACCCCAAGUCAGGGAGGAGAGGGUCAGGGGUGGAAAGACCCCCCCAUAUGCUCCUGCUACCCAGAGGAGGAAGGAGCCCCGGGGCUGAGAGCCAGAGCUUUUUGCCAGACUCCCCAGGAGGAAGAUCAGGGAAGGAGAGAGCGGGGGGGGGGACCCCAAGUCAGAGAGGAGAGGGUCUUGCCAGGGAGGGGCCCGGUCUGCCACGCUCUCCUUCCUGCAGAGCAGAGGAUCCCAAACUCAUUUGGCCUUCCGCCCCCCCUUCAGAAAAACAAUGACUCCCCCGAAAUCUCCUUCUUCAAACAAAGGAGUCCCUAGAACUUUGACUCUCUGUGACGUCUCUCAUCGUCACUGCACAACAGAGGGAACAUCUGCAAAUGGUUUUCCAAAGCUGGACGAGGAGGUGGACUAGCCCCCCCCCCAAGAAAACCCCACAGGGAGGGAGGAAGAAAAGGUGGGAGAGAAAGGAGAGGAGUAAAGAGAGGGAUCCCAGCCCACAGUCUGGCUGCCGCAUUGGGGACCAGUUUCCCAGUGUCUCCCAGGGCAGCUCCCCACGGAGGCCACGGCAGCAAUCCCCUCGCACCCAGAGCAGGGCAUCCCAGGACCACAUCCUCUCUCUCCCAAAGGGAUUGUUGCUGGCAAAGCAGCCGGAAAUGGGCGCUGCUACUCACUGAGCCUCCAGGGACCUGGGCAUCAAGGGCUGUGUGUGUGUUAAGCCAUCUAAGAGAAUAAUAAAUUUCCUGUCCUUCACCCUAAGCUUCAAGGGAGAUGUCUUUGGCUCCACCCACUUGGCCCUUGUCCAGAUACAUUCCUGGCCCUCAGAGCAAAGAAAAAGGGACCCCACCCCAUGAAUCAGUCAUGAGAGCAGCAGAGAGACCAAGUGCAAGAAAAGGAGACAGAAGCAGGGGAGUGGGGGUGGGGGGAGCAACUCCUGAGGACCCCCAGGUGAGGACCCCCACUAGAGCCAGGCAUCCAUUUUUCACAAGAUGCAAAUGACUCCCUUGUCAGUCAGUUCCAAAUUCAUGCAUUUACUUUACGAAAGCAUUUAAUAUUUGAUGGAUUACUGUAUUUUAAUAUUUUGUUGGAAGCCUCCCAGAGUGGCUGGGGAACACCAGCCAGGUGGGUGGGGUAUAAAUAAUAAUAAUAUUAGAUGUUGUUGUUGUUAAUUGAAUUGAUAUACCACCCUUCAUCAAAAGAUCUCAGGAACAUUGAAAACAUAGAACUCAUAAAAAGUAUACAAAGGAUACAUCACCUCAAAUCCUUUAAUCAGGGGAGUUUCCUCCUUUCGAAAGAGGCAGGUGGAAUCUCCACAGUUGCUAAUAGAAUAACGUUGAAAGGCUAGUGAAAUAUGGGGAACCAAGAGCAUCUGCUUGGCAUGCAGAAUUAUUAUUAUUAUUAUUAUUAUUAUUAUUAUUUACUGGAAGGCAGGAGCAAGCAGGCUGAUUCACAUCACAUAAAUCCCUUCCGUUGCCUCCACAUUUUGCAUUGCAAUCUUCCUUCCAGGAGGGCUAGAGUAUGGUUACCAGAUAUUUUUCAAUGAAUCCGGGACACUCCCCCAAGCUGAGAAGCAACAGGGAGUCAGUAGUGGGGAUGGUGAGGCAAAAGACCCUGGCUCCCUCUCCUUCUGCCAGAAGCCCCCUCCCUGCUUGUCUCUCAGAGCCCGGAGACGUCUGACAAUGGAGGAGCAAAGGCAGGCUGCACUGUUGGAUCGCUUGAACCCCAGAGCGGAGGGGACUUGGAAAGCUGUGGGGAGCCAGGGGCCUUCACUCUCAGCAACUGAUUUCAUGGAGGAAGAGGGUCAGGGAAUUCUGCUCAAUAUUGACCCAGAGCAGAACUCUAAUGUAUAAUUAGCAGAGUAAAAUCUAAACAUGUUGCAGGAUCCCCCAAAAUGGAUCAGAGGCAAUUAUUUAUCAUCCAGCAGAGCUUUACUGCUACUGAAGGAAAAUGAGCAUAAUGGUCCCAAAUCCAAAACGUUCAGGAUUGGCCUUGUGCAUAAGAAAUCCAGUUGCAGCAGACUUAACUUAAACUUACCGCAACUUAUUAUAAGUCUAAAUCUUAACACUUAACCUUAACCUUAACACAUACUAUGUACAGAACACCAGAGGGAAGAGAGAUAGAACGAGAAAUUGAAACUCGGGCUCCUUCUGGCCUCUUCUUACAGUCAGCAUGACCUUGACAGAAGAGAUGACAGAACCUCUUUAACCCAGCUUCCGGAACCCUCUUGAACUAACUAGAAUAGGAAAGAUCAAUAUCAGAUCCAAACUUUCUGCACUAAGAAAUGCAAACUGAGAAACCCUCAGGGAAUGAGCUGCUCUUCUCAUUCGGCCUGAAACUCAGCCAAGUCUGUGAAUAUUGUGUUCUUGCUGAUAAAGAGUUAACUCCAGCUGUGAAGUGUGGGAUUUCCUGCCCAGAUAACUCUGUGACACCAGCCUUCUGAAUAUUGCCAGUAGGAUUCAUCUGUAGUUGCAGUUUUUUUGGAAUCCUAGAGUUGAAAGGGACCCCAGGGGUCAUCAAGACCAACCCCCUGCAUUGCAGGAAUCUCAGCUAGAUCAUCCAAGACAGAUGCCAUCCAAACUAGGCUUCUUGUAUUUCUAUAUUCAUCACUGAGUGCUGAAAUAGGCUUCUAAGCAGUGGACAGACAAGAACAAAUAAUGUCAAGGAUUUACCUAGCCAGCCCCAUCCACUGGAAAAUGGAUCCUGCCCCCCACUCCUCCCCCUCUCCAUGCCCCCACAAACCCCUUGAAUUUGGCUCUAGGGCACUGGGAGGGAACCUCCCCAGAACAACUCACGAGGAGAGGAGAAAGUGGAUCCUUCCAUCAGGUAAACUGGAAUGCUUGCGUAGGCAGAAUAACUUGAAAACCACCAGGAGGAGUAUCACCUAUUUGCACAAAGAUGAAUGCCCAUAAUUAAAACAUAGAAUAAAAGAAUUCCAUUAAAGCGUUAAAAUAAGCAUCCAUAAUUAAAAUGUGUAGCAAAGCAAUCCUACUGAAACAACACUGCAAUUAAGAGGAAGGAAAGAACAGAGCAUUGUGUAGCAGAUCAUAUUGAUCCUGUUUCAGAGGAGGACAUUUUCCCUUUUUCUUUUAGGGUCCAGUUUGCUUUGAAGACAUCUCUUUUUGUUUCACUGAAGAGGAGUAGGCGUUGCUGGAUCCUGACCAGAGAGCUCCGCACAAGGGCAUCAUGGAGGAGAAUCGUGGGAUCGUGGCCUCUCUUGGUAAGGCUCCCAGUGGGAUCGUCCUAUCUGCCUGGAAAUUCAAAAAAUACCUCUAUGUGACAAACCUCAGAGCUCAGCAGCGCCCCCUCCAACACCUGGGAACCUAACACCCCCAAAAUAAACCUUGAGCAGCAAAUUGCACUUUUUUCUUAUAUAUAUAAUUUUUAAAAUUAUUCUCCAUUUAAUAUUGUACAUUCGCAUCAUCAUUAUCCGCUAUACCACCCUGGCUCUUUGAAGCCUCAACUUCCUUCCCUGCCGCCUCAUGGCUUUCAAAAUUAACCUUUAUAUCAUUGCAAUUUGUACAUUUUCCAAUUCCUAUUUCACUCAUUACAGAAUGGCUUAAAAUUUAAAUAUAGAAAGGUAGAAAAUUUCUCAUUACAAGUCUUCAGACAACCCUGCUAGUGAUGUUAAUUGCUUACAAUAAUCUUUCAGAUAUCGUAUAAAUUUACUCCAACCCUUUUGGAAUACUUGAUUGUGCUGGUUUUGAAUUUUUCCUGUCAGCGUCACCACAUCUGCAAAGUCCAUCAUUUUCAUCUGCCAAUCUUCUAACAGAAAUUCUCACCAUGUCAAUUAAUACUUAGUUCGGGAAACUUUAGCUUUAAUUCUGGCCUUAAAACACUUUCCCAUGGAGUGAAGCAAGUUUUUUAGUUCUGCAGCUGUAAUAAUGUGAAACCUAGAUGGAAUUAUUGAUCGGAGAACGGAACCGUCCAGGAGACAUUUUGUUAACAUUAGUGACAAAAAAAGUGAAGGAUGCAAUCCUUCAGAAUAGCUUUGAAAAUGAUCUCGUGGUUGCUGGACAGAAAAUAGACAUCUUUAGAGAAAUUCCUCUGAAAUUGAGAUUAAGAAGAACAAAAUACCGAUUUUUGACAACGGCUCUUAGGAGAGCCGACACCAGAUACAAAUGGGAAUUUCCUGAGGGUAUCUCCUUUACAUACAUGAAGAGGAGAUAUAAGCUGACAUCAGAAUUUCAGGCGAGAGAAUUCCUGGAUAAAAAUAGGAGAGACUUAGACCCCAAACAAGACAGGGGAGACCCCAGAUCUGAGCAAAAGAAAGCCUUAGAACAACUUGCACUGGAAGAGGCGGCUUCAGGGAAAACAGAUAUUGUAACUGACUCUGGAAAUGGCCAAUCUUAAAAUAUUGAGUUGGAAUGUUAACGGCUUAAAUUCCGGAGCCAGAUGACAUUGGAUUGAACAUGUAAUAGCAAAACAGAAAUUGGAUAUAAUCCGUCUCCAAGAGACACAUAUUGCAAAAAAGCAUAAAAGGGUCUUAAUUAACAAAAAUUGUGUCAAAGGCCGCUGAGAGAUCCAGCAGAACUAGGAAACCCCUAGCCCGCCGGAGAUCAUUGACAGUGUGACCUGUUAGGAUAUUUCCGUUCCACCUUAAAAGGGAGCAGGCUUUGUGAGUCACAGAGUCUGCGUAUUUCCUGUUCACAGGAAGUUUAUGUUUUGUCUAUUGCUUUCGUUUCUCUCUCUGUGCCUGAGACACCGAAGCAGGCAGUCAUGUUUUCUUUGUUCUGACCAACGCU